UGUCUAGCACAUACUUCGUGCUAAGAACUGAAUAUAUAAAGGCAAAAUAAAAACUAUUCCUCAUCUCAAAGAACUGAUACUCUACUGGGAGAUGAAACAUGCACAUAGAUAUAUAAAUAGGCAAUCAUUUCAGGAGAAAAAGAGUUGAGGAGGUCAUGGAAGAUUAAAGAAAUUGUCAUGGAGGUGAUAGCACCUGAUCUGAAUGUUGAAGGAACAUAAGAAUUGAAAAGCAGAGAUGAAAGAUGGAAUUUAUUCAUUUCUACAGAGAUGUAAUACAGAAUUAAGCAACUGGAAUCUGACAACAUUUCCUCAUUUUCCUGUACUCAAAGUUCUUCAGAAAAAUUAAGAGGAAAAAAACAUAUAGCACAAGAGCCAAUCAGGCGUCAUCAGAUUACAGCAAUAUCUUGAUCAUUUCUUAAAGAAUUCAACUCAAUUUACAGAUGAAGAACAGAGGCAAACAGGAUCAAGUGACUUGCCCAGGUCAUACAGAACAAAGUACUGAGCCUCAGUGAAAUUAUGUGACUUGCCAUGGGACUUGUAAGUAAUGAUAUCAAAGGCAUCAUUUGAACCCACAUCUUCAGGAUUCGGGGGAGCCCUGUUGAUUGGUCCCAUAUCAGUGUAAGAAAGACGCUUUUCAUCUCCCUUUCCUCUUUCCUUUGGAGUUCCCUACCCAGUGUUCCGCAGUUUAGCCUCUUCUGAUAUUUCCGACUGAAUUAUUCUCUCCUGAGUCAGCACUUUUAAUGCAUGUCAAGAGAUGAACCAGGGCUUUGCUAAGACCAUUACUAUCCUAAAGCACCAACAAGUGAGGAGGAGAAGAAAAGGAAAGAGAUUACAGAAUCACUGAAUUUCAGAAGAUGGGGAUGAACUGGUUCAAUACAUACCUGAAUGAGAAUCCCUACCAAAGUACUGCAGAAAAGUGGACCUCCAGUAUCUAUUCAAAACCCUCUGUCAAAAAGGAGCCUGUUACCUCCUCAGAUAGGCGGGCAGGCAGUUUGCCAGGCGUGUUUGUUAUCCAGAUUCAAAUUAAUAAAGAGAAAUGUUGCCUAAUAUGAGCACUGCAAUCAAUAUGGGAGUUGACUGGAGAAACAGAGUCCAGGAUCUCAUCAUGUCUAUCAACCUAGGAAUGCAUUUGGAAAGUAUCAUCCUAUUUGGAGAUGACUAGGCUCCACUUGGGUUCCUCCCUCCUCAACCAGAGUUACUUUCGACAUGGCAAAAGAGACACUAAGCGGCAGUCUGAGGAUUUGAUAGAGUCCUGUUACUAUUCUGGUGUUUCCUUACACUACUGCCUGAGACUUAAUGCUUCUGUUGAAUUAGGGUGCUGGAAAUAUGUGUACUCUAAAGUUCCUACAUCAUCAUCAAGCUAGGUGGCAAUGAUAUCAUAACCAAGUAAAACCAUUCCCAAUUGACUGAAAUUUUAGCCUGUCAUUCUGACAGAAUUGAUAGAAGGAGGGAAGAGAAGUAUCUUCUCCUCCUUCAUUUUCACAUGUCUCAUUAUUUCCAGGGUUCUUUUAGUGCAAAAUUUCUGUAUCCAGUCCUGGAACUGAGAUUUAGUGUUGGAAGAGACUUUAGAGACAGCACAUUACAACUCUCUCAUAUUAGAGAGGAUGAAACUUAGCCAGAGAAGUCGAGUGACUUGCCUAACAUCACACUGGUAUGAGUUGCAAAGCCAGCAUUUGAACUCAGGUCCUCUGUAUACAAAUCCCCUUGGUCUCUCUUUAUUUCCUGGAGUAUUUUUAUUUAAGUGAAGUCAAGUUAGUCAACAACUCUGUGCAAAACUCUGGGUAUGCAAAGAAAGUAAAAAAAACAGCUUUUCCAUAAAGGAACUUACAAUCAAAUGGGGGAAGCAAUAUGCAAGCAGCCAUGUACAAAUAAAACACAUAGAGGAGAAAUGAGAGAUAAUCUCUCAAUGAAAAUGCUACUAGCAUUAAAGGCAACCAGGUCAGGCUUUUCACAGAAAGGGGGGAUUUUAGCUGAGAUUUGGAGGAAGCCAGGAGAGCGAAAAGGGGAGGAAGAGAAUGACAGCAGUCAGGAGAUAGAGUAUCUUGUGUGAGGAAUAGUAAGGAAGUCAGUCACUGGAUUUUAGAGUACAUGGCAGGGAGUAAAGUAUACUAGGAAGUGAAGAGUCAGGCUAUAAAGAAAUUUAAAGGCCAAACAGAGGAUUUUAUAUUUGAUCCUGGAGUUAGUAGGGAACCUCUGGAAUUUUUUGGAUAAGGGGUAAAAUGGUCAAAUCUGCAUUUAGGAAAUUCACUUGGAUAGCUGGGUGACGUAUAAACUAUAGUGGGAAGAGAUUUGAGUAAGGAAAACCAAACAGAAGGCUAUGGAAGUAGUCCAAGGUGAUCAAGACCUUUAUCAGGACAAUGGAAGUGUCAAAAGAAAGAAGACUGACAUUACAGAGCUUCUUGGCUAGUAAUUCCCAUAUAUAUUCAAACAUGUAUAAAUAAUCAACCUGACUUGGCAAUGGAUUGGAUUUGGUGAGAUGGGGGCGAUAGUGAGGACCUGAAGAUGGCACUGAGGUUUCCAGCCUGAACUAUUCAAGAGGUUAGAUCAUACUUUUCACAGUGUUUGAGAAAUUUGGAAGAGGGGAGAGUUUUAGGGAAAAGAUGAGUUCAGUUUUAGAUAAGUUGAAUUUCAGAGAUCUAUGAGCCAUCUAAAGAUGUCAAAUAGUCAGUCCAAUAGGCUAACAGUCAUUCAAACUAGAAGUAAGACUAGUGGUUAAAAGAGAGAUUAAGUGUGGAUAAACAGAUCUAUGAAUCAUUUGCUUAAAGAGAAUUGAAUUUAUGGAAGCUGAAGAAAUCAUCAAGGAAAAUAAUAUGGCGGGAGAAGAGGGCUCAGGACAGAGCCUUGGAAGAUACCUAUGGUUACUGAGGGUGACUCGGAUGAUUAAGAGGUCAUUAGACAGGUUGGAGGAAAGAGCAGUGCCCUAGAGAGAAGUGAGUGUCAAGGAAAAGAGGGUGAUCAAUAGUGUCAAAGGCUGCAGAGAGGUCAAGAAGAAUGAGAAUUGAGAAAAGUACAUUAGAUUUGUCAGGAGACCAUCAAUAAUUUUGGAGGGAGCAGUUUCAGUCUAAUGAUGAGGUCAGAAGAUAGACUGUUCAGACUUAAGAAGAGAGUGGGAGGAAAGGAAGUAGAGGCAUGGACUGUAAAUGGCCUCAGUGAUAAGGGAGAAUCUUCCCUAUUAAACAAUUUAGCUCUUUCAUAUGUAGACUUGUUACAGAUUGCCAUUUCAUAUGUGUUUUUCCUGUUUCUCAAACUAAAUUAUAAGCUCCUUGAAGAUAACGGCUAAGCCAAAUAUAAUUCUGUAACUUUUAUAGGAUUAUAUACAUAGUUUGUGCUUAAUAAAUCUUUUGUUGUUGUUGUUGUUGGACUGAGAGCAUGGAUAUAUUUCAGAGCUGGAUCUUUGCCUGCAGGGGUAUGUUGUUAAGAGGCCAGAAUAAUCUGAAGCUGGGGGCAGAUUACACUGAGAUCUAGAAUGAGCAUUUCUUGGGCUUGGAGAGCCAGAGGGAGUCAGAGCUCCUUUUAGCCCUCUCACCUUCCUCCCAGGUGUGCUCCUUCAGAAGAGAGAGCACUGAGCCUCCAGCAGACCAGGCAUUCUACUCUCCACCCACACUGUUGCCAGAGAUGACAUUACAGAGUUUCUUGGCUAGUCCCCACACC